GACGAACGCUGGCGGCGUGCCUAAUACAUGCAAGUCGAACGCAGUGGGGACGGGUGAGUAACACGUGGGUAACCUCCCAUCAGAGGGGAUAACACUUUGAAACAGGUGCUAAACCGAUACUGAUGGAUGGACCCGCGGUGCAUUAGCUAGUUGGUGAGGUAACGGCUCACCAAGGCCACGAUGCAUAGCCGGACUGAGAGGGGGAUCGGCCAAACUGGGAAGUGGAAACGGGCCAGACCCCUACGGGAGGGAGGAGGAGGGAAUCUUCGGCAAUGGACGAAAGUCUGACCGAGCAACGCCGCGGGAGUGAAGAAGGUUUUCGGAUCGUAAAACUCUGUUGGUAGAGAAGCGGUAUCUAACCAGAAAGCCACGGCUAACUACGUGCCAGCAGCCGCGGUAAUAC
rnacentral:rRNA from 1 species